rnacentral:lncRNA from 1 species
GAAUAGAUAUUUUGGGCAAAAAGAAAAAUUUUUAUUUUUCAGUGAAUAGUGUCGUAUUCGUGAAUAGUGCCGUAUACGUGAAUAGUAACCCCGACACAACAAGUUCCAAAUUUGAUAAAAAAGUUCACCAAUACUUCGGCAUAAUGAUAUUGAAGAAAAAAUAUCAUUUAAGAAGAAAAUAAUACCCCUUACCUCAAAAUAACCGUACUUCUGACUGAAUUUCGGUAUAGUGCUGACAGAAACCCGCACCGUAUAGCAACACUCAAAGUAUACUCACAAGAAUACGCUCGAUAAUUUAGAGAGAGAAAGAGAGAAAACUUAGUUUCUGGUGUGAUUUUCAAUUCUAACUUAGCCCUCUAUUUAUAGGAAAAUGUUAGAACGCCAAAGGAGACUAAAUUAAUAAAUUAUUAUUAUUUAAAAUUACAUUUCUACGCAUGCCAUUUGAACACUUCAGCCACCAGCCAACCUUGACCCAAUUUCCAGCAGCCCACAUGUUCAAACAAGAGUGGGUCCCACCCAUUAUUUAAUAAAAAUUAUUUUAUCUUCCGAAACUUCAAUAAUUCGUAGAAAAUAGCUCGUUUAUCAGAAAAAUUCGAAACUCGCGACUUUCCAUGGGAAAUUCCAUUCUCUACAACUUUGCAGAAGAAAAUUUUUCCAAAUUCCAAACAGAAAUUGACCGAAAUCCACAAACGGACGAUUUUACAGUCUAUAAUCAAUUUUCGGUCAAGAAUUGUGUCCACCGACACACAAAACAUAUGUUAAACAUUUAAUGCCACAAAAUACUCUACCUCCUCAUAUACUCAUAUAUCCCACAUUCAUUAUAAAAAUAUCACCGUUAAUAUAUUAUUAAAAUAAUAUAUUUAAAUGAAUUAUUUUAUCAGAAAAAGAUAAAAUAUUAAUUUUCAACAAUUGUCACAUUAAAAAUUUUCUCCAUCUAUAUCCACAUAAAAUAAAUAUUUUCUUUAUCAUAAUAAUCAAUAAUUAAUUAUUUAAAAAUAAUAUUACAGAAUCACAGUACUGACAACCAGGCCGUUCCCAGGAAAGAGGGGGCUUUCCAAUAAGGAUUUCUCCUUACUGGCGCGCAAUUAGGUGACCAAACCUCUCCUUAGACAGAACUUUCUAGACAUUGCCAAUAAUGUUAUCUGAUAAUAUUAUUCAAAUAAUAUGAAUUAUUGAUUUGAUAAUGGAAAAUACUGUGUAAUGACAAUUAUUGAAACAACAGCAAUACAAAAUAUCAACGCAGCAAUUAUUGAAUCAAUAAAAUAUAAUAUUGAACAGUAACUACUGUAACAAUUAUUGAGUAGUGCCUUCUUACGUAAGGAUCAAUAAUUCAAUAAUACUGUGCAAUACCGUGUGCUACUGUGCAACCACGCGUAUUACUGUAUUUUAACCACCAGGUAACCCAACAGUGUUAACGGUAACAAUUUACGUCGUUAUUUAUAAAACUCAAUCUUUGUCGUUUUCCUUCAUCCAACCGUUUUCCGUUAUGGGGCCCACCAAUGACUGCGCCGUCGUACGGAGAUUCCCGACAAAAAGAAUAUUCCACGACCAAACGAAUAUUCCCCGACAAUAAUGAAUAUUUUAUAACCACUUGCUUAUUUUGUAAACUUUGCACAUUUCACCCAUAACCAAAGAAUUAUAUCAAAUUAACCCUUAUUAAUUUAGAAUAAUGAAUAAAGGAAAAUUCAAUUUUAUUUAUAAUAAGUUGGGGUCUUACAACCUCCCCUCCUUAUGAAAUUUCGUCCUCGAAAUUGACGUACGUACCUGGUAUAUCGAAAAGGUGAGGGUACCUCGCUUUCAUCUCCGAUUCCAACUCCCAUGUCAUUUCCUCAAUUGCAUGGUUUCUCCACAAAACCUUAACUUGUGGUAUAACCUUCGUGCGUAAGACAUGCUCUUUCCUAUCCAAAAUCUCAACAGGUAUCUCCUCGUAGGUUAAAUCUUCAGCUAUCUCGUCUGGUUCUAAUGCAAUAAUGUGGUUCGGGUCUUUCACAUAUUUACGAAGCAUAGAUAUGUGGAAUACAUUGUGAACACGAGACAUACUUGGAGGUAACGCGAGUCUAUAGGCUACGUUUCCUAUUCGGUCAAGAAUCUCAAAUGGACCAACAAACCUUGGAUUGAGCUUUCCUCUUUUCCCAAAUCUUGUAACUCCUUUCCAUGGAGCAAUACGUAACAAUACAUGAUCUCCAAUAUUAAACUCCACGUCCUUUCUAUGAAGAUCAGCAUAACUCUUUUGUCGAUCUUGUGAAGUUUGAAUACGUUGUCGAAUCAUUUGGAUCUUUUCUGUAGUCAUGCGUACUAAUUCUGGUCCCAACAAUGUUGCUUCUCCCACCUCGUCCCAGCAUACUGGAGAACGACAUUUUCGUCCAUACAACGCCUCAAAUGGAGCCAUGCCUAUACUUGCUUGAUAACUGUUGUUGUAGGAGAAUUCCACCAGUGGUAGGUACUUAUCCCAACUUCCUUUGAAAUCUAGGACACAGAGUCUUAAUAGAUCUUCAAGGGUUUGAAUAGUCCUCUCUGAUUGUCCGUCCGUUUGAGGAUGGUAUGCUGAACUGAAUCGUAAAUCCGUGCCCAUAGCUUUCUGCAAGCUAACCCAAAAUCUUGAAGUGAAUCUCGGGUCACGAUCCGAAACUAUGGAUACUGGCAUGCCAUGCAAUCGUACAAUCUCAUUCACGUACAUACGAGCAAGACGUUCAAGGGGAUAAGUCUCGCGUAUCGGUAAGAAAUGGGCAGACUUGGUUAAUCUAUCAACAAUAACCCAAAUUGCAUCUACGCCUUGAGAAACUUUGGGAAGACCUGUAACAAAAUCCAUAGUAAUGUGUUCCCAUUUCCAUUCCGGAAUCUCAAGUGGUUGCAAUGGACCUUUUGGCACUUGAUGCUCCGCCUUUACACGUUGACAGGUUAAACAUCUUGAGAUAAACUCCGCAAUCUCUCUCUUCAUAUUGUUCCACCAAAAUGUAUGUCGAAUAUCAUGAUACAUUUUGGUACUCCCAGGAUGGAUUGCAAACGGGGUGUUGUGUGCCUCCAUCAUGAUUUUAUGCUUCAGGUCAGAAUCGUUAGGAACGCAAAGUCUAGAAUUGACUCGAAGUAUUCCUUCCUCAUCAAUUCUUGCUUCCGGAAUAGCUCCUUCUUGCACUUUCUUCUUCAUACGCAUCAGCCCCAGGUCCGUAGCUUGAGCAGCUUUAACUUUAUCGAUUAAAGUCGGUUCUACUUGUAUAUUCGCCAUCAUUAUGUGGGUCCCUGGAGUCUUUAAUUCUACCUCCAUCCUUUGCAAGUCAUACAAAAUGGGCCUUUGCGUUGACAAUAUCGCACUCGUACUUGCAUAUGAUCUUCUACUUAAUGCGUCAGCUACUACGUUCGCUUUUCCAGGAUGAUAUUGAAUAGUGUGAUCGUAAUCUUUUAACAGCUCCAGCCAACGUCGUUGCCGCAUGUUGAGUUCUUUUUGGGUGAAGAAAUAUUUGAGGCUUUUAUGAUCCGUAUAAAUCUCUACUUUCUCCCCGUACAAGUAGUGUCUCCAUAUCUUCAACGCAAACACGACUGCUGCCAACUCCAGAUCAUGAGUAGGAUAAUUCCUCUCAUAUUCUUUGAGUUGUCGUGAGGCAUAGGCUAUGACUUUCCCAUGUUGCAUGAGAACACAUCCUAACCCCUUGCCAGAAGCAUCGCUGUAGAUAACAAAUCCAUCUGAACCAGAUGGUAUUGUCAGAACAGGUGCCGAAAUGAGUCUCCUCUUGAGCUCUUGGAAGCUCUUCUCGCAUUCCUCGCUCCAUAAGAAUUUUGCAUCCUUCCGAGUCAGCUGAGUUAACGGAGUAGCGAUUCGAGAAAAUCCUUCCACAAAUCUCCGAUAAUAACCAGCUAAGCCCAGAAAGCUGCGUACUUCGGUCACCGACUUCGGUUGCUCCCAACUUUGUAUUGCUUCAAUCUUCGCCGGGUCAACAGAUACUCCUUGUUUUGACACCACGUGCCCAAGGAAUGCUACUUCCUCAAGCCAGAACUCGCAUUUCUUCAGCUUGGCAUAAAGCUUGUGUUCACGAAGUCUUUGUAGUACCAGCUUCAAAUGGUGCUCAUGAUCUUCACGGCUUUUGGAAUAGAUGAGGAUGUCAUCAAUAAAGACAACAACGAACUGAUCCAAAUAUUCCUUAAAUACACGGUUCAUCAUAUCCAUGAAAGCAGCAGGAGCAUUAGUCAAUCCAAAAGACAUGACCAAGAAUUCAUAAUGCCCGUAUCGAGUCCUGAAUGCCGUCUUUGGAAUAUCCUCAGUUUUAAUCUUCAGCUGAUGAUAUCCAGAACGAAGAUCGAUCUUUGAAAAGAAUUGCGCUCCUUGUAACUGGUCGAACAGGUCAUCAAUGCGAGGUAGCGGAUACCUAUUCUUGAUGGUGACAUGGUUCAAUUCUCGAUAGUCAAUACAAAGUCGCAUACUCCCGUCUUUCUUCUUUACGAAUAAAACAGGAGCACCCCAAGGAGACGUACUAGGACGAAUGAAACCGAUGUCUAAUAACUCCUGUAGUUGGACUUUUAACUCCUGAAGUUCAAUAGGAGCCAUUCGAUAUGGGGUUUUAGAAAUGGGCUUUGUACCCGGUUCAAGGUCAAUAAAGAAUUCAACAUCACGUUCUGGGGGUAGACCGGGAAGCUCUUCAGGAAAUACAUCAGGGAAUUCUCUAACCACAGAAAUAUUAUUCAAAUCUGACUUGUCUUUAUUCAAAUCCAUAACAUGGGCUAAGAAAGCUUGACAUCCGUUUUUCAAUAAACGAAUAGCUUUGUGGCUUGAUAUGACAGUGACUGAUUUUAGUGGUUUAGUGGUUUGAAUUCGUAUGACAGGUUGGUUAGGAAUAUGAAAACUAACAACCUUACGAAAACAAUCAAUUUUGGCAUGAUGAGUGGUUAACCAAUCAAUUCCUAAAAUCACAUCAAAAGCAAGUAUCUUUAAAGAGAUAAGAUCAACAGGUAAUGUGAUAGUGCCAACUUGGAUCAUGCAAGAUUUAUAAACUGUAGAUGUAACGAAGGUUUCACCCAACGGAGUUUCAACAGAUAAAUCAAAAUCUAAUUUCUCCGGAGUCAAGUUUAAACGUUGAGCACAAGCAGGAGAGAUAAAAGAAUGGGUAGAACCGGUAUCUAGUAAGGUAUAAACUUCGCAAGAAUUCAAGAUUAGCUUACCCGUGAUCACCUCGUUUGGGUUCCUCACGUUUUGUCCAGUCACGACAAACGCUCUUCCAGGAACCGCUGAUUUCGACUUAUCCGGGACAGCCCUUGGAAUCACCACUCCUGCUGAACUUGGUUUCGCGAUAGUACAAUCUCGAGCGAUGUGGCCUUCCUUUCCACAGUUGUAACAUACCUUGGAUUGUUGUGGACAGUUUGGGCUGAUAUGUCCCUCCUUCCCGCAUUUGUAACAUCUAACUGGCGGUCGUUCUCCUCCCCUAGCAUUUGUUGUUGGUGCUGGUGCUGCCGUUGAUAUCUUCCCGUCAUUGUUGAAUCUUCUCUUUCUGAAAUUUCCACUUGAGUCACCUCUCCUAUUAUCAUGUCCACGAUUACCACCUGAGUGGUUACCGCCUUUGUCCGUAUUCUUUCCUCCUCGCUGGUUAUCAUCGUUCUGAUGACUACCCUGAUUGUGGUCCCUCGGUUGAGUAUACUCACUAUCUCGCUCUAAUAACUGAGCCCUGUUGACAACAUCUGAAUACAGAGAAAAUUUAUGAGAGAUAAGGUAUUGACGAAUCUCUGGUUUUAGACCUCUCAGAAACAUACGCGUCAUUCGUUCCUCAUUCUCCACCAAAUGAGGUGCAAACCUGGAUAAUUCUGCGAACCUUGCCUCGUACUGAGACACCGUCAUGUUGUUCUGUUCGAGUCUAAUAAACUCUACCUCCUUCAUAUGACGAAUACUUUCUGGAAAGUACUUGUCAUUGAACAGUUUCUGAAAUCUUUCCCAAGACAUGUUAAGUGCAUCUGGCUGGGUACGCUUCACAGAUUCCCACCAGUAAUCUGCUUCACCACGAAACAUAAAGGUGGCGAAUGGAACCUUCUGUUCCUCCGUGCACCCCAAGACAUCGAAUAUCUUGGUAAUUUGCUUGACCCACGUUUCUGCCUUGAUCGGAUCCGGCUUUCCAUGGAAAUCUGGUGGUCCCAACUCCUUGAACUGCUUGGCUGUGACAGACCGUGCAUUGCCAUCAUUUCCACCCGUAUUUUGUACACGAGUCUCCCUUGUCUGAUUUUGCAUGAACUGCAAAAAGCUUCUAAACAUCCCGUCGUUCAUCAUUUGCUCAGUGGCGUUGUUCACAGGAGGAACAUUGCCAGCCUGUUGCACGUUCUCCUCGUUGGUGAGUACCGGCGUCUCCACGGUCUCAUAAACUCCAUUGUUAACGUUCUCAGCAGCCAUUCUUAAAUACUGCCAUAAAACAAGGGUUAAUUAAACAAAUUAACAUAUCACAUAAUAUCCUAUAUUAUGACCGACCAACAAAUAAGCUUAGGUAGGACACACUAGCGAAGGAUUUACUCGUCUCUCCCCUCCUAGUUCUAUUCCCCGAUCUCCGCCAGAGAUCAUAUCCCUAAGCUCUGAUACCAACUGUGACGCCCCCAAAAUAGGUAUACAACACCCAUUCUGAGUCGCCAAAAUACAUGGUAUAGAAAGCAAACUACAACUUUGACAAUACAGAUGUCGUGUAGAAUACGACAAUACAACUGUGAGUUUGAAUACAAAUAUUGUCUUCUAGACAAUAUACACACCCAAAUAAGUCCUCAUUAAUUAUUCAUACACUAUUUUACAGAAAUAGUGAGGACAGCUAAAACAUCUUCCUAGAACCAUCACUCCAUACCCCGACUCGAUCCUGCUAUGUUCUCACCUCCUGAGAAGAAAAAUGGAACAAAAAGGAAAAGGGUGAGCUCAACUAGCCCAGUAAAGAAUAUUAUGACUAAGAUAAUAUACAACAAAUUAUCGUUAGUCUUCAACAGGGAAAAAUCUAAUAGAAUACAAUAGACAACAAGUUUUAGAUCAACAAAUGCAGCGGAAACAGCAAUCCAUUAGAAGAGUCACGUAGAGAAAGAAUUCUACUGUCUUCUAAGGUUUAAAAGUCCAUCAUCAAUAGUUUAUCCCUGUAAUAACAAUCAAUAUACAUCUUUAAUCAUCUUUGCACUACAGGCCAAAGAUAUUCAUUUGUAUCACCAGUUGGUCAUGUUCAUCUCAACACCUGUUCAUCUUUGCACUACAGGCCAAAGAUAUUCAUCAGUUAAUCGUUCAUCUUUGCACUACAGGCCAAAGAUAUUCAUUUAUAUCACCAUUUAGGACUGAGGAUGAUGAAAAACAUUUUUAAAGAAACGAAUCCAGUGAAACAAAAUGACAAGGAUUAAGGAUUAAGGAUUCGUACUUUGUUUUACCCAUGUCCAAAAAUACUUCGAAAAUAAUCAUAUUGGUGUAAAAUUCAAGAAUGAUCAAAACAUGGAUACAAUCAAAGCUAGUAUCCAGAAUAGAUAUUUUGGACAAAAAGAAAAAUUUUUAUUUUUCGGUGAAUAGUGCCGUAUUCGUGAAUAGUGUCGUAUACGUGAAUAGUGCCGUAUACGUGAAUAGUAACCCCGACACAACAAGUUCCAAAUUUGAUAAAAAAGUUCACCAAUACUUCGGCAUAAUGAUAUUGAAGAAAAAAUAUCAUUUAAGAAGAAAAUAAUACCCCUUACCUCAAAAUAACCGUACUUCUGACUGAAUUUCGGUAUAGUGCUGACAGAAACCCGCACCGUAUAGCAACACUCAAAGUAUACUCACAAGAAUACGCUCGAUAAUUUAGAGAGAGAAAGAGAGAAAACUUAGUUUCUGGUGUGAUUUUCAAUUCUAACUUAGCCCUCUAUUUAUAGGAAAAUGUUAGAACGCCAAAGGAGACUAAAUUAAUAAAU